GACUCAUUAGUUUGUCUCCCAGCAGAGGGAUAUUAACGAAAGCGGAGCAGACACCAAAAUAGCAGCUCCUCCUUCACCACACUGCUCGGUCCGAGCGGCCGGCCGGCAGACACGACUCACAGACGCUGAGACGCCAGCGUGCUGUAAAAGCUGCCUAAUUAUGACUGCAGUCACUGCCGUACGCGUCAAACACCAUCUCCAACUUCUACAUCACCAGGUCCUAAAAGAGCGAGACGGAGGAGAGAGGAUCGUGAGAGGAGCCGAAGGAGGAACGCCUUUGUGUGGAGCUGCAGCAGCUGAAGACAACGACCGCACACAGAAAUGGAUUAAAAAGAUGUUUUAUGACGACACAAACUGCAGGAUGGAGCGCGGUCACAACUAAUUGCUUCACUGCAAGACAGGCGUUUUUGAAGUGUGAAUCCCACGAGUGGCUUCCUGUUUAUUCAGAGCUGUUGGUGACAUUAUUAAACUGUUUAUUCUUGCACCAGCUCUGUUUAUUUAUUUAUGCUUCAUCAGAUGUGGGGGGAUGUGUGUGUUUAUGGGGAGUCACACCUCCGGCCCAGUCCCAACGUAGAAGCAGGGACUGGUUUCGUCUGAUCUAAGUGCUGGUGUUUAAGGAGUCCAGCGCCGGCAGCUCAGGUUAAAGACGACCACGGGGAAUGAGCACAGGAGGCUCGAUCACGGAGGGUGGAGGUGGAUGACGCUCCCAUCCCUCCUUCCUGACAGGGCUUUUAUAGUGGAUGUUUUCCGUCACCUCCACUCGGGUCAAUGGAGUGUCCCGGUGACCUGUGGGGCCGUUAUUGAUCAGAGCUUCCAGCUGCCGAUAUUCCAGUUAAACCUUUGUAUUGAUUAAACAUUUGUGUCAUAAAAACCUC